rfam:Felis catus isolate Cinnamon breed Abyssinian chromosome E1, whole genome shotgun sequence.
GCCUGGCUGGCUCAGUCGGUUAAGCGUCCGACUUUGGCUCAGGUCGUGAUCUCCCGGUUCGUGGGUUCGAGCCCCGUGUCGGGCU